GAUGAACGCUGGCGGCGUGCCUAAUACAUGCAAGUAGAACGCUGAAGGAAGGAGCUUGCUCUUUCCGGAUGAGUUGCGAACGGGUGAGUAACGCGUAGGUAACCUGCCUGGUAGCGGGGGAUAACUAUUGGAAACGAUAGCUAAUACCGCAUAACAGUAGAUGUUGCAUGAUAUCUACUUAAAAGGUGCAAUUGCACCACUACCAGAUGGACCUGCGUUGUAUUAGCUAGUUGGUGAGGUAACGGCUCACCAAGGCGACGAUACAUAGCCGACCUGGGAGGGUGAUCGGCCACACUGGGACUGAGACACGGCCCAGACUCCUACGGGAGGCAGCAGUAGGGAAUCUUCGGCAAUGGACGGAAGUCUGACCGAGCAACGCCGCGUGAGUGAAGAAGGUUUUCGGAUCGUAAAGCUCUGUUGUAAGAGAAGAACGAGUGUGGGAGUGGAAAGUUCACACUGUGACGGUAUCUUACCAGAAAGGGACGGCUAACUACGUG
rnacentral:rRNA from 1 species